UAUGUAGUGCCUGAUAAAAGGAUAGCUUUGAUAGAGCUAAUAAUGUGUUCCAACCCUCACCUGCAUAA
rnacentral:tRNA from 1 species